rnacentral:rRNA from 1 species
GACGAACGCUGGCGGCGUGCUUAACACAUGCAAGUCGAACGGAAAGGCCCUGCUUUUGUGGGGUGCUCGAGUGGCGAACGGGUGAGUAACACGUGAGUAACCUGCCCUUGACUUUGGGAUAACUUCAGGAAACUGGGGCUAAUACCGGAUAGGAGCUCCUGCUGCAUGGUGGGGGUUGGAAAGUUUCGGCGGUUGGGGAUGGACUCGCGGCUUAUCAGCUUGUUGGUGGGGUAGUGGCUUACCAAGGCUUUGACGGGUAGCCGGCCUGAGAGGGUGACCGGCCACAUUGGGACUGAGAUACGGCCCAGACUCCUACGGGAGGCAGCAGUGGGGAAUAUUGCACAAUGGGCGGAAGCCUGAUGCAGCAACGCCGCGUGCGGGAUGACGGCCUUCGGGUUGUAAACCGCUUUCGCCUGUGACGAAGCGUGAGUGACGGUAAUGGGUAAAGAAGCACCGGCUAACUACGUGCCAGCAGCCGCGGUGAUACGUAGGGUGCGAGCGUUGUCCGGAUUUAUUGGGCGUAAAGGGCUCGUAGGUGGUUGAUCGCGUCGGAAGUGUAAUCUUGGGGCUUAACCCUGAGCGUGCUUUCGAUACGGGUUGACUUGAGGAAGGUAGGGGAGAAUGGAACUCCUGGUGGAGCGGUGGAAUGCGCAGAUAUCAGGAGGAACACCAGUGGCGAAGGCGGUUCUCUGGGCCUUUCCUGACGCUGAGGAGCGAAAGCGUGGGGAGCGAACAGGCUUAGAUACCCUGGUAGUCCACGCUGUAAACGGUGGGUACUAGGUGUGGGGUCCAUUCCACGGGUUCCGUGCCGUAGCUAACGCUUUAAGUACCCCGCCUGGGGAGUACGGCCGCAAGGCUAAAACUCAAAGGAAUUGACGGGGCCCCGCACAAGCGGCGGAGCAUGCGGAUUAAUUCGAUGCAACGCGUAGAACCUUACCUGGGUUUGACAUGGAUCGGGAGCGCUCAGAGAUGGGUGUGCCUCUUUUGGGGUCGGUUCACAGGUGGUGCAUGGCUGUCGUCAGCUCGUGUCGUGAGAUGUUGGGUUAAGUCCCGCAACGAGCGCAACCCUUGUUCACUGUUGCCAGCACGUUAUGGUGGGGACUCAGUGGAGACCGCCGGGGUCAACUCGGAGGAAGGUGGGGAUGACGUCAAGUCAUCAUGCCCCUUAUGUCCAGGGCUUCACGCAUGCUACAAUGGCUGGUACAGAGAGUGGCGAGCCUGUGAGGGUGAGCGAAUCUCGGAAAGCCGGUCUCAGUUCGGAUUGGGGUCUGCAACUCGACCUCAUGAAGUCGGAGUCGCUAGUAAUCGCAGAUCAGCAACGCUGCGGUGAAUACGUUCCCGGG